UAUUUGAGAGUUUGAUCCUGGCUCAGGAUGAACGCUGGCGGCGUGCCUAACACAUGCAAGUUGAGCGAUUUACUUCGGUAAAGAGCGGCGGACGGGUGAGUAACGCGUGGGUAACCUACCCUGUACACACGGAUAACAUACCGAAAGGUAUGCUAAUACGGGAUAAUAUAUUUGAGAGGCAUCUCUUGAAUAUCAAAGGUGAGCCAGUACAGGAUGGACCCGCGUCUGAUUAGUUAGUUGGUAAGGUAACGGCUUACCAAGGCGACGAUCAGUAGCCGACCUGAGAGGGUGAUCGGCCACAUUGGAACUGAGACACGGUCCAAACUCCUACGGGAGGCAGCAGUGGGGCAUAUUGCACAAUGGGCGAAAGCCUGAUGCAGCAACGCCGCGUGAGUGAUGAAGGCCUUCGGGUCGUAAAACUCUGUCCUCAAGGAAGAUAAUGACGGUACUUGAGGAGGAAGCCCCGGCUAACUACGGGCACGCAGCCGCGGUAAUACGUAGGGGGCUAGCGUUAUCCGGAUUUACUGGGCGUAA
rnacentral:rRNA from 1 species